AUUGAACGCUGGCGGCAGGCCUAACACAUGCAAGUCGAACGAGUGGCGGAUGGGUGAGUACUGUCUGUGAAACUGCCCGAUGGAGGGGGAUAACUACUGGAAACGGUAGCUACUACCGCAUACCAUUGGAUGUGCCCAGGUGGGGUUAGCUAGUAGGUGGGGUAACGGCCCACCGAGGCGACGAUCCCUAGUUGGUUUGAGAGGAUGACCAGCCACAAUGGAACUGAGAAACGGUCCAGAAUCCGACGGGAGGCAGCAGUGGGGAAUAUUGCAAAAUGGGCGAAAGCCUGAUGCAGCCAUGCCGCGUGUAUGAAGAAGGCCGUCGGGUUGUAAAGUACUUUCAGCGAGGAGGCGUUACUCGCAGAAGAAGCACCGGCUAACUCCGUGCCAGCCGCCGCGGUAAUAC
rnacentral:rRNA from 1 species